rnacentral:lncRNA from 1 species
CAAGAAUUGUCCUGGGCCAAGUGCCAACACUGGGUCCCAUUGAGAAGCACUGAGCUAUGCUAAGGCUUGGGGCUUAGGCUUUCAGGUUUAGCAAAGGCCACAAUCGUGUUGCUUUGUGGCCCAGUGAAAUAGAAAUUUCCAAACUCUCUCUGGCCACCUGUCCUCUUCCUCAAGGAGGAUACAUGCAACAAAGAGCAUCAAGACAGCGGGCUGGAGGCAGGGCAACCUCAGGGGACCCAAUCCUGGCUGUGUCACUUACAAGCCAUGUGACUCCGGC